rnacentral:hammerhead_ribozyme from 1 species
AUUUAGAUGAUGAGUCCCAAAUAGGACGAAAUCCAAAUCGUGGAU